GGGUGUUACCUUUCCCUCUUCUUCCUGCAGGCAGCAGGCACGGGGCACAAACCAAGCUCUUGAGCUCGCCAUGGCAUCGCCACCUGCUCGUUCCGGUUCCGUCCGCUUCACCUCCUCCUUGUUGAGGCUCUUGAUAGAGUUCGUUGCUGGACUACUGCGCAACGUUGACAACUUCCUGCAUCAUAAGAGGUAUGCAAGCCAACGCCGCCAUUUCCUUGAUUGCUGCUUACUAGAUUCUCCAAAUUGUUUUGGUAGACGUAAGAACAGCCCAAGUGAAGGGAUUCAGCAGCAAGUUGCGAAAACCCGUGGUGCCGGAUUAGAGCAAGAUGCAAAAGUGGACGAAACUAAGUUUAUCUUGGAUUCGGGAGCCUCCGUCCACGCGGUUGGCAAUUUCUCUCUCCUGUCGUCGUUCAGGAAGAUCACCGCCGCCGCCACCUCUUACCGGGCGCGCGACGGUAGGCAGCUAGUUGUCGCCGGGACCGGCACCAUUUCCCGGGGCAGCUUCCAGCUCUCCGACGUCCUGUACGUCCCUGAUCUCCGCGCCGGAGUAGCUCUGGUCUCCGUGCUGCAGCUAGCGGAACGCGGCUACCUCGUCAUGUUCGGUGGCGGCCGGUGCCAUGUCAAGGACCAGAGCACCGGUAACAUGGUGGGGAACGGCCGGUUGCACAGCCAAGAUGGCCUGUACCACCUCGAGUUCCUCAAGAUCCCGCCCGACACAACGGACACCACGGCUCCAUGACGCUCUACACUGCCAUCCCUCCAUGCUAUCGCAAGCACCAGAUUUAU
rnacentral:lncRNA from 1 species